rnacentral:tRNA from 1 species
UGUCCUGUGGUGUAAUUGGCAACACGUCUGACUCUGGAUCAGAAGACUUCAAGUUCGAGCCUUGACAGGACAA